GUUGAGAUGGUAUAGUGGUAUUACGUAUGCCUAACACGCAUAAGAUCCCGGGUCCGAUCCCCGGUCUCAACA